rnacentral:lncRNA from 1 species
CACUCCUGACCGCUAGAGCUGGAUGAUGCGAAGAGACCGUGCCCGGGCGUCAAGACCCGCCCGCUGUGCUCUGCCCCGCCGCGGCGUUUCGCGAACUUGCAGCACGUGAGGCCACCGCUGCCCCUUUCCAGACCGGCCGCGCGCUGCGCGUAGGCGCCCAGCGCGCUGGGUUUCGCGUUCCACCCUUAGCCCAACCGCCGCCCAGCGCCCGCUCCCCCGGGGCCCCUUCGAGUUCCGCCGCCAACUUCCCGCCCCCGGGCCCCUGGCUCCUCCUCCCUGCCCGCCUCCAGCCUUCUGGCUCCUCCUUCCUACCUGGCUCUUGGCUCCUCCCCGCUACGCAGGCCCGGCCUCCGGCCUCCUUCGCUCCCCGCCUGGGCCUCUUGGUUCCUCCUCCCUGUCCUGCCUCCAGCCGUUAGGCUUCUCCUCCGCGUCCCGCUCCACCCUUGGCUUCCUGGCUCCUCCUUCUAGGUCCCUCCCGGCCUCAGGCUCCUCCUCUCCCGCUCGCCCGGGCCUGCGCUCCGCUGAAAGGUCUGAGGGCGCCAGCGAGCGAGGGGACUCUUCACCACCAGACCGCCCAGCAAGCCUCCCGGUGUCCCGGCGCCACCGCGCCCCCUCCUCCGAGUGACGAAACCCAGCUCCCAGAAUAACGAGCAAGACAACUUUUAAAGUGACUGUUGUUGACCAGUGUCUUUUGUGCAGUUGUUUGGUAAGCUUGUGGUGGAUUUUUACAACAAGACAGUAUAAAUUAGUUUAAAUUAUUCUCAGGGAAGAAUGAUUCUUCCAGAAGGAGAUACAAAUGUCAGAGAAAAAAUAACAGUGGGGUGGCUGUGUCUGUUCCUCAAAUCUGUGUGUCUCUCCCAAGAUGCUGUGAAGUUGUCCACCUGAUUGAGUACAGGAGGAAAAUGCUGAAACUCGGU